CUACUACUCCCUCUGAUCCUAAAUUGUUGUCGAAAUAUUACAUGUAUCUAGACGCCUUUUAAGAGUAGAUACAUCCAUAUUUGGGCAAAUUUGAGACAAGAAUUUAGGAUCGGAGGGAGUAGCUU
rfam:Brachypodium distachyon strain Bd21 chromosome 3, whole genome shotgun sequence.